GUGCUUGCUUCGGCAGCACAUCUACUAAAAUUGGAAUGAUACAGAGAUUUGCAUGGCCCCUGCACAAAGAUGACAGCAAAAAAAGAAAGAAAGAAAGAAAGAAA
rnacentral:snRNA from 1 species